UACGGAGGGUGCGAGCGUUGUCCGGAAUCAUUGGGCGUAAAGGGUGUGUAGGUGGCGCCGUAAGUCGGGUGUGAAAUUUCGGAGCUUAACUCCGAAACUGCAUUCGAUACUGCGGUGCUUGAGGACUGGAGAGGAGACUGGAAUUCAUGGUGUAGCAGUGAAAUGCGUAGAGAUCAUGAGGAAGACCAGUGGCGAAGGCGGGUCUCUGGACAGUUCCUGACACUGAGGCACGAAGGCCAGGGGAGCAAACGGG
rnacentral:rRNA from 1 species